rnacentral:ncRNA from 2 species
AUCUUUGCCCUCGUUAUAGGUGGCCGGACCCCGAUUGGGGGGCGAGGCUGAAAAGGGAAUCCGGUUCAACUCCGGAGCUGUCCCCGCAACUGUACGCUUCCGUUACCCGGUGGGCCCAUCCCCCAGCCACUGUUUCUGUGAAAGCUUUCUGCCAAGCCAGGGAGCCGGAGAAAUGGGAAGGCGGCCCACCCGAAGCAAGCCAGGAGACCUGCCUAUACGCUUUUUAGUGU